CCGCUGAUUCGCUCAUAUCCUU
rnacentral:miRNA from 1 species